CAAUAGCGUAUAUUAUUGCUGUUGCAGUUGAAACGUUCGUAGUCGAAUAUUACCCGCUCCAACAUUGAGUCGUACCAAGUACAACACUUUGUGAUAGGCGGGGAGAGUGCGGGUUGUGUGAGUUUCUCAUGCAAUUUCUGUCACCUUACUUUGAGUGAAUCGGCGUGUUCCACGCAGGCGAGUGCCUUGAACGAUUUACCAUAGCAUAAAUAGAAUGUGAGGAUGUUUCCUUGUAAGUUCGGAAGCAUUUUCGACAACGAAAAGAACGGUUGAGGGCAUUCGUAUUCAACUGCUAGAGGUGAAAUUCUUUGAUUAGUUGAGGACGAACCAUUGCGAAAGCAUCUGCCAAGGACGUUUCUGUUGA
rnacentral:rRNA from 1 species